rnacentral:snRNA from 1 species
GUACUCGCUUUGGCGGUACAUAUACUAAAUUCGGAACGAUACAUAGAAGAUUAGCAUGACCCCUGCACAAGUGUGACACUCAUAAUCGUGAAGCAUUUCAUAUUUUU